rnacentral:snoRNA from 1 species
UACCUUGAGAUUCCUUUCCCCUUAAACCUAAAUAGUGGUUUGAAUAGCUUUUAAAAAGAGAAGGAAUAAUAAAAUUGAAAUGGACUUGGAAUUUUUAGUGGCAAGCAAGUUCAUUUCAAACAAAA